GAGGCGUCUGCGCAGUACAACCCAGAGCCCCCGCCCCCUCGCACCCAAUACUCCAACAUCCAGGCCAAUGAGAGUGAGAAGGCCCGGCAUUUCCGGAGGCUCUUUGCCCAGCUGGCUGGAGAGGACAUGGAGGUCAGUGCCACAGAACUCAUGAACAUUCUCAACAAAGUCGUGACCCGACAUCCUGAUCUGAAGACUGAUGGUUUUGGCAUUGACACAUGUCGCAGCAUGGUGGCCAUUAUGGAUAGUGACACGACCGGCAAGCUGGGCUUCAAGGAAUUCACGGACUUGUGGAACAACAUCAAAAAGUGGCAGGCCAUAUACAAACAGUUUGACAUUGACCGUUCAGGGACCAUUGGCAGCAGUGAACUCCCAGGGGCCUUUGAGGCAGCAGGAUUCCGCCUGAAUGAGCAUCUCUACAACAUGACCAUCCGACGCUACUCGGAUGAGGGAGGGAACACGGAUUUUGACAACUUCAUCAGCUGCCUGGUCAGACUGGAUGCCAUGUUCCGCGCCUUCAAAUCUCUUGACAAAGAUGGCACUGGACAAACCCAGGUGAACACCCAGGAGUGGCUGCAGCUGACCAUGUAUUCCUGAACGGGAGUCGCAGACCUGCCCCCUCAUCGCCUCGCUGUAGGAGUCACCUUGGACUCUUCAGUCUCCCCCAGGGCUGAUCCUGUUUGCAGUCACAUCUUCAUGGCUCCUGCUGACCCACAGGCCUUUCUGUUCUCCCAGCCCUUGGCACCCGGAUUCUCAGUCAACAGCCAGGGCCCAACAUGCUUCAACACACCCUGCCCC